ensembl:lncRNA
CACACACACACACUCUUCUUACUCCUUUAACUCUCACACACACACACACUCUUCUUACUCCUUUAACUCUCACACUCACACACACUCUUCUUACUCCUUUAACUCUCACACACACACUCUUCUUACUCCUUUAACUCUCACACACACACUCUUCUUACUCCUUUAACUCUCACACACACACACUCUUCUUACUCCUUUAACUCUCACACACACACACACACUCUUCUUACUCCUUUAACUCUCACACACACACUCUUCUUACUCCUUUAACUCUCACACACACACUCUUCUUACUCCUUUAACUCUCACACACACACUCUUCUUACUCCUUUAACUCUCACACACACACUCUUCUUACUCCUUUAACUCUCACUCACACACACUCUUCUUACUCCUUUAACUCUCACACACACACUCUUCUUACUCCUUUAACUCUCACACACACACACACUCUUCUUACUCCUUUAACUCUCACACACACACACACUCUUCUUACUCCUUUAACUCUCACACACACACACACUCUUCUUACUCCUUUAACUCUCACACACACACACACUCUUCUUACUCCUUUAACUCUCACACUCACACACACUCUUCUUACUCCUUUAACUCUCACACACACACUCUUCUUACUCCUUUAACUCUCACACACACACUCUUCUUACUCCUUUAACUCUCACACACACACACUCUUCUUACUCCUUUAACUCUCACACACACACACACACACUCUUCUUACUCCUUUAACUCUCACACACACACACACACUCUUCUUACUCCUUUAACUCUCACACACACACUCUUCUUACUCCUUUAACUCUCACUCACACCCUCCAGCAAAAAAGGCUCAGUUGGACGACCUGGCUCUGAGGUCACCGUCUAGAUUCCUCGCGGUUGAUUGGCUGGCAUGGCCAGUGAGUGGUUUCCAUGGCGACAUCUGGUGGUAUCCAUGGCGACAUCUGGUGGUAUCCAUGGUGACAUCAGGUGGUAUCCAUGGCGACAUCUGGUGGUAUCCAUGGCGACAUCAGGUGGUAUCCAUGGUGACAUCCUCCGGUGUCUCGACUCCACAGAAGUCCAUGAUCACAUUAUCAGACGUCUCUUCCCACGGGGUUACAGCCAAUCAGAAGGCAUUAUCAGACGUCUCUUCCCACAGGGUUACAGCCAAUCAGAAGGCAUUAUCAGACGUCUCUUCCCACGGGGUUACAGCCAAUCAGAAGGCAUUAUCAGACGUCUCCUCCCACGGGGUUACAGCCAAUCAGAAGGCAUUAUCAGACGUCUC